GCACAUGAGGGCAAUCUGGCUGCAACAUUUGUCACCCCAUUGAUCUCCAGGUUUGAUUCGGCUGAUCUAGCUGGCUGGGUAGGUGUCUCCUUUCUUCUUCACCAUUCCAUGUUCAUCCCUCCUGAAAUUGCACGCUAGGUCGAAGAGGAUGACCACCCCAGAGAGAGGAGGACCCUCUUCUCCAUCAAGGGUAUAUGAGUAGCUGUGCUCCCCUGCUAGAACCUUCAAACAAGCUCUCUCAAAGUCAAAAAAAUAAAAAAAAGUUUGGGGAUAUAGCUUAGUGCAAAG
ensembl:misc_RNA 7SK 7SK RNA